GUCUACAGGAAGUUGUGCUUGGGAGAAUGACUGAGAGAGAGGAAGUAAGAAGGAGGACAAGAGAGAGAAAAAUUGAACUGAAGACAAAGGAUUUUGAAUAGGAAUGAAGAGCGGCAUAAGCCCUCCAAAGAGAACAGAGCUAUCGGCAGCCUGAUGUGUUUUCAAAUUGAAAGCUGGUAAAAGAUUGAUGAGCAGAAGAAAGAAGUUGUGAAUUCCCUGUCCUUCCUACCCAAUGCUGAUGACGGUGACCGAGCAGUUCCAAGAAUUGGAGGAAGUCAGGAUUUUGUCUACUUUCAACUGAUUUCAAAGAAAGAAGUUCCUUUGAGCAAUGACAGUCAUCUUGAAGGUAAAGAAUAAAGAAAAGAAAAGAAAUGCUAGAAAGGUGACUACCUGUCUGAAUGUCGAUGAGCAUUUCCAACCACC
rnacentral:lncRNA from 1 species